ACAGUUCUGCAUUUCUAUCUUUAAAAUUUGCCUUACAUCAUGAAAUUUUUCUCAGUAUAAAAUACUCCUGAAACAUGGCUUUACUGGACUUGCCUCAGUUUCUGCAGCUUCCUCCUGUUCCUGGCAGCUGCCUGCAGGGAAGUUCACAGGUAGGGACCAAAAUAGGGCCAGACACAAGCCUCUGAAUGCAAUCUUAUAUCUGACA
rnacentral:snoRNA from 1 species